AUAUAUGACUUAGACAAUCCUCCCUCCCAUAAGGUGCCUUUUGAGUUGGAAUUAGACUCGGUCCAUUUUAUCAAUAUCGUGGCUGAGCCAACCCCAUUCUCAAUGUUGAUCAACCGCAGAUGUCCAGUCCUGCAAAUUUCACACUCCAAAAGUCCAGUCCUAGGCCUAAAAGGGACUGUUAAGUCCCACAUCAAUAGUGUAUUGAGCAAAAAUACAUUAUAUAUGACUUGGCCAAU
rnacentral:misc_RNA from 1 species